AAAUUUCUUCAGUUACAAGAUCAGAAGGAAGGGAGAAGAAAAGGAAGAAUUACUUCAUCAGUAAUUGGUCCCGAGUUAAAGACACUGUCAGGGCGCCUUCUCCAGAGGACAACACUGAAACCAUGCAGUUUUGAUGCAGUGAACCAAGGUUAAAGAAUGAAGAUCCUAAGGUUCAAGAAUAAACCUCAGUUAUCCAUCCACAUGACCUUGAGGAUGUGAAAAAUGCAACGUUGUUGCUUACUGUAAAGAUCCCUUGUUCUGCCAACUGUUAAUUUCCCUUUCAAUGGUCCCUCCUGGAGGGACUCAACCGGGAGGGUUUGUGCCUGCAGUAAAAGUAACUGAUUGCCACCGUUGUAAUUGUGUUCCUGGCAUUGUGUAGAGCUUCUCCGUGUAUCUCAUCUUGCCUUGGCCUUUUAUGGCGACUUUUAGAAGGUUGAUUCAAUUCUCUCCGCGUCCAUCACGCAGGGUCCUUAUUUCUUUCACAUUACACAAAUCUUUUCUUCUGUCAAGGCAAGAGGCCACAAGAUUCAAUGACACGCUUGUGUCGAGGCCAGGUGGUGAGCAUAUCCAGUUUUUGCUUCUGGAUCUGUGGUUUUAUUAGGGCACAACUCCUGGGCUGCUGGCAAAGUUGGAAGUCUAAGGGCAGUUCAGACCGUUGCCCAUAUCAAAUCAUUUGGUGUUUUCAAGUAUUUUUGUGACCCCUGGUACUGAAAAGAAGUUGGAG